rnacentral:tRNA from 1 species
GUUCAGGUAGCUCAGUGGUAGAGCAAUGGUCUGAAAAACCAUGUGUCAGCGGUUCGAUCCCGUUCCUGGACA